rnacentral:rRNA from 1 species
CAAUAGCGUAUAUUUAAGUUGUUGCAGUUAAAAAGCUCGUAGUUGGAUGUCGGGUGGGACGCAGCGGUCUCGCAUUGCGUUUGUACUGCUGCAGCCCUCCUUCUUGCCGGGGGCGGCCUCUCGGACUUCACUGUCUGGGGGUCAGAAUCGGCGAUGUUACUUUGAGUAAAUUAGAGUGUUCAAAGCAAGCUUACGCUCUGAAUAUAAUAGCAUGGGAUAACACGACAGGACUCUGGCCUAUCGUGUUGGUCUAUAGGACCAGAGUAAUGAUUAAGAGGGACAGUCGGGGGCAUUCGUAUUCCGUUGUCAGAGGUGAAAUUCUUGGAUUUACGGAAGACGAACAUCUGCGAAAGCAUUUGCCAAGGAUGUUUUCAUUGA